rnacentral:rRNA from 1 species
UACGUAGGGUGCAAGCGUUAAUCGGAAUUACUGGGCGUAAAGCGUGCGCAGGCGGUUUUGUAAGUCUGUCGUGAAAGCCCCGGGCUCAACCUGGGAAUUGCGAUGGAGACUGCAAGGCUUGAAUCUGGCAGAGGGGGGUAGAAUUCCACGUGUAGCAGUGAAAUGCGUAGAGAUGUGGAGGAACACCGAUGGCGAAGACAGCCCCCUGGGUCAAGUUUGACGCUCAUGCACGAAAGCGUGGGGAGCAAACAGG